UCACUGAUGAGUCUUGUGUAGAUGAAACGCGAGUCUGGCGUACACAAUUUCAAUCCUGGUAUUUAUGAUGAGUUUAUUUAAACAACUUUAUCGAGCCCUAUAGAAGAACACUGUCGUUUAUGUAUAUGAAGUUAAAUAUGAAAUAAUAUUGAAAGAAGAAAUCGUAGUGGCAUAGGAAAUACCAAAGAUAUAAAUAGAAAACAUCAAUUUCUCGUACUAACACAUUUUACACAAAACUGAAAGCAAGCACUGAAUUGCUGAAUAGAACAUGUAACGAUGGCAUAUUUGUAUGUGUGGUAUCCAAACGAUGACAGCUGGGGACAUGCUUCACUGUUAUUAGAAAUAAGUCAGGUGUAUAUCAGCUGGUGGCCAAAAGACGACAAGUCAAAAUAUAAAAAGAAGAAGAAGAAGGUAGACGCUAAAGAUGAAUUGCCCGAUAGUUAUGAAGAGGACGUCGAUUUGAAUGGUAGAGAAGCAACUCACAAGUUUUAUAUCAACGAAAAUAAAAUCAAUGCAAACGCUGUCGAUGAUUGGUGGAGACGAACAAAAGGGAGAGGUGGCUACCAUAUUUUUGGUCGCAAUUGUUGUGAUGUUGUUUACGCCGCAUUGGAAGUUGGAGGCUGCUACGACUGGGUUCAUCCGGGAAUUAAAGUAGUUUCUACUCCGCGGCACAUUAAUCGCUAUGGCCGAGACUUAGAGAAUGCGAAGGAAAAAAGCUGGAAUCCCUUUCGAGGUUUCAUGGUCAGAUGAUGUGAAAUAUACUGUUUAAAUUGAUAGAUUCCGUUUAUGUUGAAGCUAGUAAUUGCUGGUAUGAGUUCUGUUAUUUCUAAGCUUCAUGUUUUAUGCUAAAAAAAGUGAAGUAACAAAAAUACCGAACUCCAAGGGAAAUUCCAAACGGAAAGUCCUUUAUAAAAUGAAAAAAAUUAAAGGCUCAAACACAUCUAACGAAUGGAAAACAACUGUCAUAUUACUGACUUGGUACAGACAUUUCCUUAUAUAGAAAAUGGUUCAGUAAACCUGGUUUUAUAGCUAUCUAAACCUCUCACUUGUGUGACAGUAGCCAUAGACCUACCCAAGCCAUUUUUGGAAAUCUUUAUUUUUUAAAUGUUCAAAAUUACAGUACAAAAUUAAUUUCUGUUACAAAUGUGUGUGUUUAAAAAAUAUAAUACUGCACUUACGGAUGGUUAUCAUAUUUUUGUGAUUCAUGGUGCUCAAUCUGUACUUUUCCAUGUAGUUUUUUUAACAAACUGUUCUUUAUCUUCUCAUGUUUUCUGUUCCUGUGAUCCUGGAGUUGCUUGUAUUUCGUAGAAUUAAAUUGUAUUGCACCUUGG